GCCAUUUGCUAUGUUAACCCUUGUAAUCUUUUCUUUGUUCUAUCUACUCUUUCUUCUUAUUUUGCUAUUGUAAAUAUUUUUUUUAUAAAUAAAAGAGUGGUGGUGGUCUCAAAUUACUUCCAUUUCCAUCAAAAAAAUUAAAAAAAAAAGACUAAAAGCUUCCAUCAAGGAAAAUUAAGUAGAGAAUCUUCUAAUAUUAAAAUUUGCACCAAAAAAUCACUCAUCAACUAGUAAAGAUACUGAAUGAAUAAAUGAUAGACAAUCUGCAUCCAAAAACUACAAGAGGGUCAAACAAGCAUCGCUAUUGCUUUCUUCUCCUCAUUCUCUUCAUCUAACAACAACCGGCUCUUCUUUCUCCCCCCUUUAGCCCCAUCACUCAUUUACCUAGUCAAAGUAGGAAUUUGUAUAUUUGUAGUUAUGAGGACGGCAGCAACAACCUCUUCUAGGGUAACACGAGUUAUCGCUUGGUGUUGCACCCUAUAAAUGUAUGCUUGCAAACAUCCAAACAGGCCCUUAGGGCCAUCCAAGAAAGAGGAGCAUAAACAAUAGGAAGAGUGAGCUUUUCUAUUGUUUGGGUGAUUUUAGCAUGAAUAAUCCUAAAAAUCUGAGAUGCUACAAAUCACCAAUCAAAUGAAUGGGGAUAUUAUAUGUGAUCGGAGUCUUCAAUGAAUGUGCACGUUGUUCUUUUGUUAGUCACUACAUCAUCUCUCAGGAUGGUGAAGAAAUUGGUAUUUGUGUGGAAUAAGCUUAUUUGGGCAUCCAAAUAAACCUUGCAGUCGUGCACAAUGGGUUCAUCCAUUGGGUAUCUUAAAGUAGGUGACUCUAGGGAGGUAUUGCACUUGGAUGAAAAAUUCGAAAAGAAAAAGAUACGUCGGCACACCCGAUUGGAGCAAAAUAAAAGCCCCACUAUAACACCAUGUAUGAUGCAGCUCUCAUAAUGCUCACUUGCAAACCUUAUGAAUCAACUAAAAGGGAG
rnacentral:lncRNA from 1 species